GAUGAACGCUGGCGGCGUGCCUAAUACAUGCAAGUCGAACGAAACUUCUUUAUCACCGAGUGCUUGCACUCACCGAUAAAGAGUUGAGUGGCGAACGGGUGAGUAACACGUGGGCAACCUGCCCAAAAGAGGGGGAUAACACUUGGAAACAGGUGCUAAUACCGCAUAACCAUAGUUACCGCAUGGUAACUAUGUAAAAGGUGGCUAUACUACCGCCUUUGGAUGGGCCCGCGGCGCAUUAGCUAGUUGGUAGGGUAAAGGCUUACCAAGGCAAUGAUGCGUAGCCGAAUUGAGAGGUUGAUCGGCCACAUUGGGACUGAGACACGGCCCAAACUCCUACGGGAGGUAGCAGUAGGGAAUCUUCCACAAUGGGCGAAAGCCUGAUGGAGCAACGCCGCGUGGGUGAAGAAGGUCUUCGGAUCGUAAAACCCUGUUGUUAGAGAAGAAAGUGCGUGAGAGUAACUGUUCACGUUUCGACGGUAUCUAACCAGAAAGCCACUGCUAACUACGUG
rnacentral:rRNA from 1 species